AUCCUUUUGUAGUUCAUAAGUGUGAUGAUUGGGUGUUCACGCUCUUGUGUGAGAUGUGUCUCUCAAAACCUUGUUACGACUUCGGCAUAUUACCCGUAUGACA